CCUAGCGGCGAACGGGUGAGUAACACGUGGGCAACCUGCCCCUAGCACUGGGAUAACUCCGGGAAACCGGGGCUAAUACCGGAUAUGACCUCGGAGGGCAUCCUCCCUGGUGUAAAGGAUUCUGGCUAGGGAUGGGCCCGCGGCCUAUCAGCUUGUUGGUGGGGUAAUGGCCUACCAAGGCGACGACGGGUAGCCGGCCUGAGAGGGCGACCGGCCACACUGGGACUGAGACACGGCCCAG
rnacentral:rRNA from 1 species